CAUGGCGGAGAAGGUGGGCACCUGGGGUAAAACUCCCAGGUGUGAUGCCUUCACGCUCUUCCACCCUUGUCUAUUUGCACCUUUUGUCGUUCCCUCGGCGGGUUUCGACCCGCCGGCGGCAACAUUGAAAAAACCUUUUUUGCAGUUAGCAUCCAAUUCUUCUGAUCAAAAUAUCAAAUCGUUA
rnacentral:misc_RNA from 1 species